CAAAAAUAAAGAUUUGACCUAAUUUUUUGGUAAUGUCUACAAUGUUGGCUAACUAUCAAUGACUUUUGCUUUGUUUGUACUAUAUUAAAAUGUCCUAUUGAUGAUGUGUACUGCUUUUAAUUUUUUUCAUCCAUGCCUAACUUUGCUCUUCUAUGUCAACUUUUUAUCUUCGAACUGCAGAAGUUGUGUUGCCAAAAAUGGAUGAAAUGGAGAAGAUCCAUAGAUGCCAAAGAUGUUGGAAAGAU